rnacentral:lncRNA from 1 species
UUUUUUUCUAAUAAAAUCCAACCUGGAAUCAAACCCUUAUUAGAAUAAAAGUACAUAUACAGUAGCCAAUUUAAAAAAUUUUUCACUUUUUUAGUAUAUUUGCUGCCAGAGCAUACAACCUAUUUUUAAAAUUAUGUUUCCUGCAUGUGCAAAACUUUGAUUUGAUCCCCAACAGGACCAAAAAAAAAUUAUUAUGUUCCAGUUUUGCACAAUAUGUCUGCUGGUUUACAAAAUAUUUGAGAAAAAAGGCACCAUUUCACUUUCUUCCACCUCUCUCCCCUUUCAGCCCCAUUUCUUUCUUUUAUUUUGAAAAAUGUUAAAAUUUAUUAAAAAUAGUUACCAUCACAUAGUUAAUUCAACUACUUCUCUAUUGCACAUAGUGACAACAUCUCUCCACAAGAUUGCAUGCUCAAGGAUUUGAGAUGAUCCAUAUUUAGUGCACCCCAGUCAAAGACUGAGAUCCACUGUAUUUACACCAAGCAAAGCAGCAUCAUGGAAGGGCCAACCUCUCAUUGCUUGUUAGUUAUGUUGUUCUUUAUAAUGUCUUGGUUUUUAACAGUUACAUCUUGUUUUGACAACAUAAUUCAAAUACUGUUUACUCCUCACAUUCUAUUUUUUUUAUUAGAUCUUUAUGGUUAUACAUAGUAGAUGGGUUCAUCCCAACAAACUCAUACAUGCAUAGAAAUCGAUUUCAGUACAAAAUCACCUCUUUUCUCUCCCAUUUCCCUUCCUUCCUCCCUUUUCCCUCUUUCCUCUACUCUUCUAGACUUCCUUUUGCUCAUCUAUUAAUUUGUUUUUGUUUGAUUCUUUAUGUAAUCUGAUCCUCCCUUCCCCCUUUCCUUAUUUCACUGUAGCUUCUGUAUAUCAGGGAAAAUCUUCAACCUUUGAGUUUCUGAGUUUGGCUAAUUUCACUUAGCAUGAUAGUCUCUAUUUCCAUCCAUUUGCCAGCAAAUGCCUUAAUUUCAUUCUUUUCAAUGUCUGAGUAGAACUUCAUUGUAU